CACGUAGGGGGCAAGCGUUGUCCGGAUUUAUUGGGCGUAAAGAGCUCGUAGGUGGUUCGGUAAGUCAGGUGUGAAACCUCCAGGCUCAACCUGGAGACGCCACUUGAUACUGCUGUGACUGGAGUCCGGUAGGGGAGCGUGGAAUUCCUGGUGUAGCGGUGGAAUGCGCAGAUAUCAGGAGGAACACCGGUGGCGAAGGCGGGAUCCUGGGCCAGUACUGACGCUGAGGAGCGAAAGCGUGGGGAGCAAACAGG
rnacentral:rRNA from 1 species